AACGAACGCUGGCGGCAGGCUUAACACAUGCAAGUCGAACGCACCUUUCGGGGUGAGUGGCAGACGGGUGAGUAACGCGUGGGAAUCUACCCUUCUCUACGGGAUAGCUCCGGGAAACUGGAAUUAAUACCGUAUACGUCCUGAGGGAGAAAGAUUUAUCGGGGAAGGAUGAGCCCGCGUUGGAUUAGAUAGUUGGUGGGGUAAAGGCCUACCAAGGCGACGAUCCAUAGCUGGUCUAAGAGGAUGAUCAGCCACAUUGGGACUGAGACACGGCCCAAACGCCUACGGGAGGCAGCAGUGGGGAAUAUUGGACAAUGGGCGCAAGCCUGAUCCAGCCAUGCCGCGUGAGUGAUGAAGGCCCUAGGGUUGUAAAGCUCUUUCAGUGGGGACGAUAAUGACGGUACCCACAGAAGAAGCCCCGGCUAACUUCGUGCCAGCCGCCGCCGUAA
rnacentral:rRNA from 1 species